rnacentral:rRNA from 1 species
GACGAACGCUGGCGGCGUGCUUAACACAUGCCAGUCGAACGGAAAGGCCCUGCUUUUGUGGGGUGCUCGAGUGGCGAACGGGUGAGUAACACGUGAGUAACCUGCCCUUGACUUUGGGAUAACUACAGGAAACUGGGGCUAAUACCGGAUAGGAGCUCCUGCUGCAUGGUGGGGGUUGGAAAGUUUCGGCGGUUGGGGAUGGACUCGCGGCUUAUCAGCUUGUUGGUGGGGUAGUGGCUUACCAAGGCUUUGACGGGUAGCCGGCCUGAGAGGGUGACCGGCCACAUUGGGACUGAGAUACGGCCCAGACUCCUACGGGAGGCAGCAGUGGGGAAUAUUGCACAAUGGGCGGAAGCCUGAUGCAGCAACGCCGCGUGCGGGAUGACGGCCUUCGGGUUGUAAACCGCUUUCGCCUGUGACGAAGCGUGAGUGACGGUAAUGGGUAAAGAAGCACCGGCUAACUACGUG